UCCUAACUCUGGCGGCGUGCUUAACACAUGCAAGUCGAACGAAGAGCGAUGGAAGCUUGCUUCUAUCAAUCUUAGUGGCGAACGGGUGAGUAACGCGUAAUCAACCUGCCCUUCAGAGGGGGACAACAGUUGGAAACGACUGCUAAUACCGCAUACGAUCUAAUCUCGGCAUCGAGGAAAGAUGAAAGGUGGCCUCUAUUUAUAAGCUAUCACUGAAGGAGGGGAUUGCGUCUGAUUAGCUAGUUGGAGGGGUAACGGCCCACCAAGGCGAUGAUCAGUAGCCGGUCUGAGAGGAUGAACGGCCACAUUGGGACUGAGACACGGCCCAGACUCCUACGGGAGGCAGCAGUGGGGAAUCUUCCGCAAUGGACGAAAGUCUGACGGAGCAACGCCGCGUGAGUGAUGACGGCCGUCGGGUUGUAAAGCUCUGUUAAUCGGGACGAAAGGCCUUCUUGCGAACAGUUAGAAGGAUUGACGGUACCGGAAUAGAAAGCCACGGCUAACUACGUG
rnacentral:rRNA from 1 species